GUAAGUAUAGUUUAAUAAAAACAUUAGAUUGUGAAUCUAAUAAUAGAAAAUAAACCUUCUUGCUUACC
rnacentral:tRNA from 1 species